CUCUGCAAUACCAGCACUGGCCAGUAGGGGUCGCUGUGUGUGGAGACAGGCAGGGAUAGGAAGUUUCAGCAUAUCCCUCCCUGCCUAUCUAUACUCACUGAUCUGCAGGGGUGCAGCUACAGAGAGUCCAGACAGCAACUCCCACCCUGCAGAGACAGCCUACAGCUCAGGGAAGUGAGGGAUAAGGGGGAAAGGCUGCAAGGAGACAUACACUGAGAUACUAAGGGGCACUGGGAAACAUUAUGGCAGACACUGAGACACUAAG